rnacentral:tRNA from 1 species
GUUAAUGUAGCUUAAGACAAAAGCAAAGCACUGAAAAUGCU